AUACCUUUUUCGGCCUUUUCGCUAAGAUCAUGUGCAGUAUUUGUUCUUAUUAGUUUAAUAUUUGAUAUGUGGACCAUUAAUCCACAUGAUAUUAAAUUAAAAUUUUUUUAUGGGAAAGACUCACAACAAUAGCUUGCACCCAUUCUGAAACCUGCGACCUCAACGGAAUAUGGGUUAGAGAGAGAUGCUCCUCCUUCUCUCUAACCUCU
rnacentral:snRNA from 1 species